rnacentral:rRNA from 1 species
UACAGAGGGUGCAAGCGUUAAUCGGAAUUACUGGGCGUAAAGGGUGCGUAGGUGGGCAGGUAAGUCAGUGGUGAAAUCUCCGGGCUUAACCCGGAAACUGCCAUUGAUACUAUUUGUCUUGAAUACUGUGGAGGUCAGCGGAAUAUGUCAUGUAGCGGUGAAAUGCUUAGAUAUGACAUAGAACACCAAUUGCGAAGGCAGCUGGCUACACAAAUAUUGACACUGAGGCACGAAAGCGUGGGGAUCAAACAGG